rnacentral:lncRNA from 1 species
UUUUUUUUUUUGUAUUAUGUGUUCAUCCCUUUGUUAUGCAUAUUAAAACGAAAUGAACAUAAUAAUGGAGGAUGGUACUAAAAUCCAUAACGAAGAUUACAACAUCAAAAGAGUUUGACAAAAUAACUCACUCUCUCCUUUACAUCAUCUUCUUGACCAAAUUCCAUAUCGACCUCGUAUUAUGCAGAAUAGAGUAGGAUAACUUUUUGUGUUCAGCCACCUCAGAUUCUAUCCCCCACCCUGCAUAAAAAAGUUUAACAAAUUAUGAUGAAGGUAUAUAACAAUAUUUUGUAUUGCAAAUGCCAACCUAUCAGCAUUUGGCAUCACUUCUUCUGGAGAUAAUUGAGUACUAUCUUAGAUAUUUAAUAAGUCCUUCAAAAUCAUAAAGCGUAUGGAAGCAACAACAGCUUAACACCAACAUGGAGCAUUAAGAUGGCCCAAAUUAAAAUGCUUAAUAUACAUGUAUUUCAUCUGAAGCAAAAAAAAUUAAAAAAAAGGGAGAGAGAAUGGGACCAAGCGAGAGAAAAUUCAAACUUCUCAUCGUGAGAGAAACACUUGCAAGGGUCAAAAAUAUUCCUUUACUAUGCAAAAAGAUCAUAUAUAUACUGUCGGCUCAUCACUACCCGGCGUUAUAAAAUUAGUGCAAAAAUACCCUUCAUUUCCAUCCCACGUGGCCUGACGUUUUGCUGAUAAAGAUGCCACAUGGCAAUGCCACAUCACUGCCCCAACCCCAUUUAAUCCCCUCCCCCACUUCAUCCUCUAUAAUUGCACAAUUCUUAAAGAUGAAUCACAAAAAAUUCUUCCACAUUAUAUUUUAAUAAAAGCUCUUAAAUAACUUUUAAAUAAAUGGAUGGUUCAUUUCCCAUUCUCCACGUAAAAUCUAUAUAUGUAUCCCAAAUUAUGCAACCUGACCACCAUGCUAUAAAUACAGACAAAGAAUCAAUCACUUCUCCAUCCUCCUUUGCGUUAUUUAUAUCAAUAUAAUAUAAAUUAUUUAUAGCAGAUUUUUUUUUGUAGAGUAUAAGCUCUACUCCAUUGUUUGAAUAGUAUGCUUGAUAAAAGAUUGAAAUUUCCAGUCAUCAUUUGCUGGUAACAUGUAAAAUUAUGAGUUUUUCAAGAGUGUGUCUGAAACAUCUCACUCACAUUAAGAUAUAUCUGAGGAAGGUUUCGUCCUUUGCAAUAGUGUAGACCAAUAAUAUUGUAGUGGUGGCUUGACUUUUUAGAGGGGAAGGUGAACGCUAGGGAUGGGGGAAAAUGGUUUCUUGACGGCGGCUCUAGGAAUUUUCCUCCUUUCUUUGUGGAUGUGAAAAAUGAAAAUCAAGUUUAUUUGUGAUUUGAUGAAAUGCAUAUUUGAUUAUCAAACUGAAAUUUAAAGGGAGGGGAGGGAAAAUUAAGCGUCAACAAUGGUGCAUAUUUCAUUUGUUGUUAGCUUGGAGAAUUAAAAGCAUAACUCUUGCUUCAAUUUUGUAUCCAUGUAUUUUUCCAUCUAUAUUUAGCAAUUCAUUAUGUCAUUCACACCUAUAAAUGAAACAAAAAUACUCCAAAGUGAGUAUGUACUUUUGCCUUGACUUUUCAAGUAGAUACAAAAUUAAUAUAUCAAAAUUAGAAUACAGCAUCCGAGGAUAGAGGACUUUUGUUGCGCCAGGUUUCUUCAUUGAGUUAAAUAAAUAGGAUGAAUGAUCAUCUUUUUAAGUAACUUACAAUUAGUUUUAUCUAAGUUUUAUUUUUAUUUUAGUUUUUAGUUUUUUUUAAUUAUUUAGUUAUCUAAGUUUUAUUUGAUGACUCAAAUAUAUUUUUAAUGAUAUUAUAAGUUUUUAGUAUUGAUACUCGGGGUAAAUGCACAACACACAUGUCCAGAAACUCGUUACUGAUACAUCCAAAUAAAAGAAACGUUUUUCUAAUUUUGAAAAUUAGAGGAGAAGUAAUUAGUCUUUGCAAUCAGGAGGGAAGAAAUCAAAUAUCAACGUAAUUAACAAUUAACACUAAGAGUUUCAGCACUACAGGCUACUAUGUGCUUAAUAAUAAGCAAUGGCAUUAAAACUUAGAGUUUUGCGCACCUUUUGGCAUAACUUCACUAGGAAAAAUAAAUGGAAAAGGAUCAAGUAAAAAGCAAAAAGAAGAUUUGAGCAUUACAUCUUUACACGGAAAAGGCGAAAUACAUAGAUUACCCCCGAACUAUGGACCAAAUCCCUGUUACACUUUUUGCAAACGAAAAUAACUUUACACACUCAACCUUUACAGACUGUUCCUAAUACACACCACUUUUUUCUUGACCAGUUUUUCAAAAUAUGUAUAAUGUCACGCUCCAAUGAGAUAGUGACACGUGUUAACAUAUUAAAAAAAGAAAAAACUUUAAAUUAUAAUUAAACCCAUCUUCUUCAUCAAAUAUACCACCAUGGCUGCCAUCUCUUCGACUCCCAUUCAGAUUUCUCUACAUCUGCUAGUUCUAUUUUCACCUCAUUUUCUCCAUUAUCUUUCUUACCUUCUUCUUCUUCGUUAUUUUCUUUUCGAGCAGGUGAUUCCCAAAAUUAAUUAUCAAGAUCCGCCAUUUUCAUAGGAUUAGAUCAACAUCUCAUUAUAAGCAAACCACUUUUAGGCGGAAUGAAAAUGCUUACUCUGGCUUUCUCCUCUUCCGCUGCUUUUAAUUCUUUCAUUUCAACAAUAUUCUCAAUAUCCCAAAAAAAAUCUCAAAAUAAUUUGGACAAACCCAGAAAAUCCCUCUCCACCUUUAAAAUUCCAAAGACCAUCAAGCUUCAUUAUUCAUUAAUAAACUCUUCUUAAUUUUUAGGGAGGAGUUUCGGGAAAACAAACAGGGAUCUAGGGACGAUGAAAAAAAAAACAAGGGAGGUCUUCUGAUUGUUGAG